UGAGAAACGGCUACCACAUCUAAGGAAGGCAGCAGGCGCGCAAAUUACCCAAUCCUAAUACAGGGAGGUAGUGACAAGAAAUAACAAUACAGGACUUUUUACGGUUUUGUAAUUGGAAUGAGUUAAGUAUAAACCCCUUUACAAGUAUCAAUUGGAGGGCAAGUCUGGUGCCAGCAGCCGCGGUAAUUCCAGCUCCAAUAGCGUAUAUUAAAGUUGUUGCAGUUAAAAAGCUCGUAGUUGGAUUUCUGUUAAUACCUUAUAUAUAAUAUUUUUUUUUUAAAUAUUAAUAUGUAAGAUUAACAUANUUCAUAUUUUUAAGACUGAAUUUUUAGUUUUGAUAAUAUGAAAUUUUACUUUGAGAAAAUUAGAGUGCUUAAAGCAGGCUUUUGCCUUGAAU
rnacentral:rRNA from 1 species